rnacentral:lncRNA from 1 species
UUAUCCAAACCGGUCAAGCACUGCGCAGCAACAUGGAUUGAACUAAAAACAACAUUAAAAUAUAUUGCCUAAUUUAAAAAUAUAAAAAAAAACUGAUAUAAUCACCCAAAAAAAACAAAGGACUAAUAAUGCAAAUGGCCCAUUUUGAACCCAUUUUAAAACCCAAAACUCAUUCCCUUUGUCUGUCAUUUUUGAGUUUGCCGCAGCCCCCUUUCCACCAUUUCAGACCCAUCUCCGAUCAACUACAACGACCAUGACGGCACCACGACGGAGCGCUACCGCUGGUAAGAACCCCUCUCCCUCUUCUUUGCUUCGCUUUCGUUUUAAAAACGAGGAAAGAAAGCAGAAGAAAAAAAAAAGAACAAAAAAGAAAUAAAAGGAACAAAACGGUCAAAAGAAAAGAAAAAUAGGGUUGACUAAUUACCUUCAAGAAAUUGUUUUUGAUUCUCUUUCAAUUUUCCUUUACAAAAUUUCUCCCCUUUCCCUAUCUCUUUUUUUUUUCUUUAAUUUUCCCCCUUUCAAUCCUGAAAAACUCCCUUCUCUCAAAAAACAGUUUUCACUUCCCUCCUUUUUACAAUCAGUUGUUUUCUUUUAAUAUAUUUGUUAUCCUUCUGUUCCUUGUGCUAUUCGUGGUUCGUGGCUUAUUUGCAGGAUGAACGUGCACGGCGCUAGGGGAAACGGCAGUUAUUGCGACGUGGGAGUGUGUACAGCGCUGGUCUGCUGCUUGCUGUUGGAGUUUGCUGUUUUUAUUUUUUGGGGGCUGUACAGUGUUAUUAGUUUGGGCCUUAUUGGGCCUCGUUUUUAAUUGGGUUUGGUUGUAAUUUGGGUUUUGGGUCAAUUUUAGUGAGUAUAGUUGGGCCCGGGCAAUAAUUGGGUAUUAUAGCAUUCAAGCUAUUCAAAUCAUCAACCAAGUCAUUUCCUUAUUCAAAACAUACCAUUUGCACUUUCAAACAAACCAUUCAAGCACUAUACAUAUGGUCUCACAAUAUGAUCAAAACAUACCUUAAAACACACACAUAUAUAUACAUAUACAUUAACAUAUCUUACUUCACAACCUAACCAAGUUCAAACUAAGCUAAUAGAUACAAUUUAACACACCUAUAACACCUCUAUACGUGCCAUAAAACCAAGC